rnacentral:lncRNA from 1 species
AUUUCCCUUAAAAUAUCCUAGUUUUUUCUCCUGUCACCAAAGAAUUAGAGUUUUUGUAGGUAAAUAUCCCCCACCCCUAAUUUCUCUGGCCAAACUAAUGAUCAAUGGAAACAUAAAGCAAUUCCUGGAAAAUGAGUUGAAAGGAGAAGAAAAAGCACUUUGCACUUAAAUUCUUUUUUCUUUAUUUUCUGAAAGAAUGCUUGUUGUGACUCUAUCAGGUCUAAACUGCAGAUUUUGUAUUGGUUACAAUUAUCCAGAUUUUUGUACUCCCAGUUCUCAGGAUUUUUGCUUAGAAGUUUCUGGAAGGACUCAGCUCCACUUUGUAAAAAUCUCUUGGUGCCCCUGCAGGCAUGAGCAUACAGAGUGAUGCCUCAACCACUUGCAUGACAUUUUGUUUUAGCCUAAAGCCUUCAGUAGAAGAAUAAAAUUCGAGAGUUGAAGGAGGAGGUUGGAGAUUGAGGAUAUUAUUUUUAGCUAGAAAAAGUUAAAAUAAGCGAGUGUGUGGUAUUACGGAAGGCAGCCUCCUUUGGGUCUUAUGUCCAUGGCAAAGUUCACACAGUCCAACCUUCCAUCUAACUGUAUGAAAACAACGUUUGUUAUUUAUAGGGAAUUGCCUUGGGGAAACCAGCUCAGAGAGGAGAAUAGAUUGUUCCAAGGAAAACUGGAUGGGAGUGGAUGGGGCCUCUUCAAAGUAAGAAAUAUACUUUCCCUCCGAGAAGUCCAUCAGUUAAUAUUAACAAGGAGAAAGAGAAAGAAUAACCUGGCAGGAAGCUCUGAAUUUCCCCCAGACUCGAGUCAAGAGAUCAUCAAGGAAGGAGUCUAGCUGUAAAGUACACCUCUCUUCCUCCGAUGGGAGUGACAACCAGGGUGACUGGAAUCAGAGGGCAGCCUGCUCUCCUUUGGCAAACAAACACCCACUCUGGUAAGUGCCUUUUAAUGUGCAUCAAGUCUAUGUCUAGGAAAAGGAUGCACAGUUGGCAAGUACAGAGCUGUAAGGGGAUAGCUUUGACAUGCUGAUAAAGCUUCUCGGUUUACUUUGGACUUGACUUUAUCAUUUACUGAAGGAUAGUAUUAGUGUGGAGACGAUAGCCAUUCUCUGACUUCUCGAACGAAAGCCAGUGAAAUGUAUAUGAACAAAAGGUCUGUUAUGGGGAAUCCUACCCUGUUUGCUCAGUGACUUUGGGAUCCUAAUCAUACAACUUCACAGAGAUAAGGCCUGGAGCAGAGAAAAAGAGCCCACCCAGUUAGGGGCCCCCAGGAAGAUGAGUGAAAGUCAGUGGCGUUAAAAAUGGAAGCUCCUCCAACUCUGAGCAUGUGUGUAGUUUUCCCUUAUUGCAAAUUUGAUAUUAUAAAAAUAGAUUUGCUCUUUGGAGCCAGAUGGCACGCAGUACUUCUGAAGUUAAAUCCAGCCUUAUGACAAUGGCCAUCGCCAAAAGGAACUACUUGACUGUGAUGCCAAACUAUUCAGCUCUUUAUGAGUCAUUUUCAUCAAGCAAGCACUUCUGAACCUCUUUGGGUACAAGCACACAUACAUGCCCCUUGACCACAAUAUAACUGUUGCUUUGGUGCGGUAUCUUUUUUGUUGUUGUGUUUUUGUUAUUUGUUUUUAUCUUCCUCAUUCUUGUUUGAAAAAAAUAAUAAUUAAGAGCACAUACCUUGGUACUGAUUGUCAAUUAGCUUGUUGCCUUACAACAUGAUUUUACUGCUCAUUUUCAGAUGGUCUCAUUGAUUGAUUGAUUGAUGCAUCCACUCCUUUAGCAAAGUCUACAGUUGCACACAAGCAAGAUCAUAGGAUCGGAAGUCAAAAGAUGCAUGUUGGGCCCAUCAAGACAUGAUUUUUUGAAGUCAAGUCAUCCUGGGAAAUCCUUUACAGUUUUCUUGGCUUUAGCUUUCGUAGCUUAUAUGGAAGAUAGUAAUAGUAAUUGUCGCAAAAAAUAUCAUUUGUAAAAGCAUUUUGUAUACCAGAAAACAUUAUGCAAAGACUUUUUGUUCUCAAAGGCUAGGACUAUGACUAGAAUAUUGUAUAAGUGAAUAAGCAUAUUUUAAGCAUCUAUCUAUGUCCAGAAAUUUGUGGGGAGUUUUGUAGAUAAAAAGACUAAUCUGACAGAGAUUCUGUACUCAAGAAGGUUAAAGCCUAUGAGAAGAAAAUAAUUCAGUCACAGAGAAGGCACAAAUUUAGUCUUAGAAUUUUCUUAAAAUUUUAUAUAAAGUAAUAUAUUUGCCAGACAAAGCCAUCAACAUUGUGAUUCUCUGUGAGCUUCAGCCUGACUUUGUGAUAACCCAUGUUUAAAGAUAAUAUUGGUUAUUUUAAGAUAUACUCCUAUAAACAUAAUAAAUUAUUCACUUUUAUUUAACA